UCCAAGUCUUAUUUCUGUUCCUGUAAAAGAUCCUCUCUGAGUCUCAGUCCUGCUCCUGCAGUAGAUCCUCAGUGCCCAGGAGACACUCCUCCUGCUCCGACCUCAGUGAGAGUGUUAAUAAGCUGAGGAGUUGAAUGAGUGUCAUAAUUGAGUCUCUAUAAAUUGAAACCUUUAGAGACCCAGAAAGAAACCCAUCCUCAUCCUCAUCCUCAUCUUCAUCUUCAUCAUCUUCAUCCUCAGCGUCCAUUCAUUAUAACUCUUACAUAGUUGAGGUUAUAACCCCAUUAAAAGAGGUUAUAAAGCCAUUAAAGCAAACUGUAUAUAUUAAUUACAAUCCAAAUCCAUAUUCAUGGAUUUAUCACUGGUUCAGUCUGCUUUUGAGAACAUUUUAAAGAUCUAAAUAAAAAGCUGUGAAAGGAGUAAAAAAAAACAAUAAAGAUUUAAUUGAAAAAUGUAAUGAAAAGCACAAAUAUUCCAUUAAAACUCUUCCAAAAUGAUA